rnacentral:rRNA from 1 species
GGCCUACGGGGGGCUGCAGUGGGGAAUAUUGCACAAUGGGCGAAAGCCUGAUGCAGCAACGCCGCGUGAGGGACGACGGCCUUCGGGUUGUAAACCUCUUUUAGUAGGGAAGAAGCGAAAGUGACGGUACCUGCAGAAAAAGCACCGGCUAACUACGUGCCAGCAGCCGCGGUAAUACGUAGGGUGCAAGCGUUAUCCGGAAUUAUUGGGCGUAAAGAGCUCGUAGGCGGUCUGUCGCGUCUGCUGUGAAAACCGGAGGCUCAACCUCCAGCCUGCAGUGGGUACGGGCAGACUAGAGUGCGGUAGGGGAGAUUGGAAUUCCUGGUGUAGCGGUGGAAUGCGCAGAUAUCAGGAGGAACACCGAUGGCGAAGGCAGAUCUCUGGGCCGUAACUGACGCUGAGGAGCGAAAGCGUGGGGAGCGAACAGGAUUAGAUACCCCAGUAGUCA